GUGGGUAUAGCUCAGUAGUAGAGCGCAUGCUUAGCAUGCAUGAGAUGAUGUCCUGGGUUCGAUCCCCAGUGCCUCA
rnacentral:tRNA from 1 species